GAAAUCCUGUGGCGAGAGGUUCAGUCUGAAGGGCUGUCGUGUUGGCCGGAAGCACAAGGGCAUCCCCGAGCGGGGGCCGUCCGGUCGCACGGAAGCAGACGAGACAGACGCAUUUGACUCUCGCCCCAAAGGACGCCGCAGCCGGCUGGGUAGCGCAAGCGCGACGGCCUGAAGGUCGGAAGCUGGCAGGUGGCCGGUGGUGCCCCCUGGUGCCGCCGGUUGUUAGCCGUUCCGUCAGUGGCUCGUCACCCGGCCGAGGUUGUCUCUAGGCCAGUGUGGCCAAGUUCGCCCCCUCCUCAGAGUGCGCGGGGCAGAGUGCCGCAGGCGGAGGCCGUAGCUGGACGCACCUUUUGACGGGGUGGUCCGGCGAACGGUUUCAUCUGUUGUUGGUGGCGCCGGACCCGUCGGAGGCUGGAGGCUAGCGGCGAGUAGGUCGGUCACCCACCCGACCCGUCUUGAAACACGGACCAAGGAGUCUAACAUGUGCGCGAGUCAAUGGGUCUUGAACAGGCCCAGAGGCGCAAUGAAAGUGAAGGCCGACUUGACGUCGCCGAGUUGGGAUCCCCGGUCUUCUGGGCCGGGGCGCACCAACGACCCGUCCUAUCCGGCUCGCCGGUUGGGCGGAGUGUGAGCGUACACGUUGGCACCCGAAAGAUGGUGAUCUAUUCCCGGGCAGGAUGAGGCCAGAGGAAACUCUGGUGGAGGUCCGCAGCGUCUGACUGCAAA
rnacentral:rRNA from 1 species